GGAGAGGUGUCCGAGUGGUCGAAGGUGCAUGAUUGGAAAUCAUGUGUGGGGAAACCCACCGCGGGUUCGAAUCCCGCCCUCUCCG
rnacentral:tRNA from 1 species